rnacentral:rRNA from 1 species
GAUGAACGCUGGCGGCGUGCUUAACACAUGCAAGUCGAACGAGAAAUGGAGACGGAAACCUUCGGGCGGAAGGCUUCAUUUCGAGUGGCGGACGGGUGAGUAACGCGUGGGUAACCUGCCUCAUACAGGGGGAUAACAGUUGGAAACGACUGUUAAUACCGCAUAAGACCACAGCACCGCAUGGUGCGGGGGUAAAAACUCCGGUGGUAUGAGAUGGACCCGCGUUCGAUUAGCCAGUUGGCGGGGUAACGGCCCACCAAAGCGACGAUCGAUAGCCGAUCUGAGAGGAUGACCGGCCACAGUGGGACUGAGACACGGCCCAAACUCCUACGGGAGGCAGCAGUGGGGAAUAUUGCACAAUGGGGGAAACACUGAUGCAGCGACGCCGCGUGAGUGAAGAAGUACUUCGGUAUGUAAAGCUCUAUCAGCAGGGAAGAAAAUGACGGUACCUGAGUAAGAAGCCCCGGCUAACUACGUG